CUUGCUACUGCCACAUGCAUUUUUGGAUUCUUCCAUCCGCUGCAAGCUUUCAGCCUUUCAUCGCUUCAUUCUUUCAUUUCCUUUGUUAUCUUAUUUUCACAACCCUAAUCUCUCGGCCGCCGUCCCUUGCAAAGACAUAACCAACCAGCCUUUUCGACGUUCCGCAGUAACAAUUCCGCUGGUUCCCUUCAUCGGCGUCAUUGAACCCAGCUUCUGCCUCAACUCAUCGUACCGUGCCGUCAACACCAGAUGCUUCUUCUGAAGAGUGGAAAGGAAAGUGGGUUUUAGGCUUUCAGCGGAAGGGGAAGCGGUUUUUCGAGGCUUUCAAUACCGAGUUCAAAUAACCGAGUACCACCUGGGUUAACCGGGUAACCGCCGGUUACCAGAGCCUGUUAUUAAUUUCUAAUAACCAAGAGCCCCGGAACUGGUUACUGGUUUUAGCCAAUAAUCAAGAACCGACUCCGAGUUGAAGCCCUAAUUUUCAAGAGAGUUUACUCCCUUAUCCAUGAGUAGAGAACUUCCGAAAUGGUAUCUCAAUAGUUAAAGCUUUGUUUUAGAACGGAAAGAGUGAUUUUUCACAAGACGUUUAGGAUGCACUCUGAUCAUCACAAUUAAUGUAGAACAAUGUAAUUUCUUGGGGUUAAUUCUUACCCAUUUCUUUUUUUUUU